GAUGAACGCUAGCGGCAGGCCUAAUACAUGCUAGUCGAACGAGAUUGAGGAGCUUGCUCCUCAUGAAAGUGGCGCACGGGUGCGUAACGCGUAUGCAAUCUACCUUAAUCAGGGGGAUAGCCCGGAGAAAUCCGGAUUAAUACCGCAUAACGCUAUUUUAUGGCAUCAUAGAAUAACCAAACAUUUAUGGGAUUAAGAUGAGCAUGCGUGACAUUAGUUAGUUGGUGAGGUAACGGCUCACCAAGACUACGAUGUCUAGGGGAUCUGAGAGGAUGACCCCCCACACUGGUACUGAGACACGGACCAGACUCCUACGGGAGGCAGCAGUAAGGAAUAUUGGUCAAUGGGCGCAAGCCUGAACCAGCCAAGCCGCGUGCAGGAAGACGGCCCUAUGGGUUGUAAACUGCUUUUAUUCGGGAAUAAACCUCUUUACGUGUAAGGAGCUGAAUGUACCGAAGGAAUAAGGAUCGGCUAACUCCGUGCCAGCACG
rnacentral:rRNA from 1 species